CUACACAUGCAAGUCGAGCGCUCACUUCGGUGGGAGCGGCGGACGGGUUAGUAACGCGUGGGAAUAUGCCCGGUACUAAGGAAUAGCCUUUGGAAACGAAGAGUAAUACCUUAUACGCCCUUCGGGGGAAAGAUUUAUCGGUAUCGGAUUAGCCCGCGUAAGAUUAGAUAGUUGGUGGGGUAAUGGCCUACCAAGUCUACGAUCUUUAGCUGGUUUUAGAGGAUGAUCAGCAACACUGGGACUGAGACACGGCCCAGACUCCUACGGGAGGCAGCAGUGGGGAAUCUUAGACAAUGGGCGCAAGCCUGAUCUAGCCAUGCCGCGUGAGUGAAGAAGGCCUUAGGGUCGUAAAACUCUUUCGCCAGAGAUGAUAAUGACAGUAUCUGGUAAAGAAACCCCGGCUAACUCCGUGCCAGCAGCCGCGGUAAUACGGAGGGGGUUAGCGUUGUUCGGAAUUACUGGGCGUGAAGCGCACGUAGGCGGAUUGGAAAGUUGGGGGUGAAAUCCCGGGGCUCAACCCCGGAACUGCCUCCAAAACUAUCAGUCUAGAGUUCGAGAGAGGUGAGUGGAAUUCCAAGUGUAGAGGUGAAAUUCGUAGAUAUUUGGAGGAACACCAGUGGCGAAGGCGGCUCACUGGCUCGAUACUGACGCUGAGGUGCGAAAGUGUGGGGAGCAAACAGGAUUAGAUACCCUGGUAGUCCACACCGUAAACGACGAAUGCCAGUCGUCGGGCAGUAUACUGUUCGGUGACACACCUAACGGAUUAAGCAUUCCGCCUGGGGAGUACGGUCGCAAGAUUA
rnacentral:rRNA from 1 species